CGUCCGUAUCCCUUUGAAAUACCAGUUCUCGUACGAUCACAAAAGCCAAGCAACGUCGAGCCUGGUCACUUCCUAGAUGGGUGACCGCUUGUGAAUACCUGGUGCUGGAAG